GAAGAGCAGGCUGUAAGGCAUGCAAAAGAGAAAUGGUGCUCUUGUUAGGAGGGUCUGCUCUGAAACUCAGCUCGAGGAAGGAGUGCUCAGCGCAGCAUCCAGUCUUGGUCUUCAGCUCAGUCUUGGUGAGGACAAAGCACUCGUGAGUGUGGAAGGUGUUUCUGGAUAGCAGUGCUGCAGUUUGGCUACAUCCAAAGGAUAUCCAUGUGACCAGUGAAAGUGAGGACAGUAACUCCAGGUCUGACACGUGGGUCUCAGUUUGGAGAGAGUUGCCUGGUGCAAAUGCUGGCUGGGGAGGACCAUGCACCUUGGAAAUAAAACGAGCUCAGGUUUACUUCUGCCUCAGACCCUGUUGGCUGCUUCAGAGCUUGCAGCAGAGGCAGGCCAAUGCCAAAGUCUGGCCUGGCACACAUGGAUUGUCUGUGAAAUCCCAGCUACAAAAUCUGUAUGUUAAUACAGAUUGAGAAGACACAGAAUGCUCAUGGACCUGAUGGUUGCAACUGUGCUAGUUGUAGCUUAUUCCUGCCCU